UACGAAGGGGGCUAGCGUUGCUCGGAAUCACUGGGCUUAAAGGGCGCGUAGGCGGGCGAUCACGUCAGGGGUGAAAUCCGUCGGCUUAACCGGCGAAGAGCUUUUGAUACUGGUCGUCUCGAGGGAGGUAGGGGCAUACGGAACUUCCGGUGGAGCGGUGAAAUGCGUAGAUAUCGUAAGGAAGACCAGUGGCGAAGGCGGGUCUCUGGACAGUUCCUGACGCUGAGGCACGAAGGUCAGGGGAGCAAACGGG
rnacentral:rRNA from 1 species